CCCGGCUAAAUUACGUGCCAGCAGCCGCGGUGAGACGUAGGGGCCAAGCGUUGUCCGGAUUUAUUGGGCGUAAAGAGCUCGUAGGCGGCUUGGCAAGUCGGAUGUGAAAUCUCCAGGCUUAACCUGGAGUCGCCAUCCGAUACUGCUAUGGCUAGAGUCCGGUAGAGGAUCGUGGAAUUCCUGGUGUAGCGGUGAAAUGCGCAGAUAUCAGGAGGAACACCAACGGGCGAAGGCAGCGAUCUGGGCCGGUACUGACGCUGAGGAGCGAAAGCGUGGGGAGCGAACAGGAUUAGAUACCCUGGUAGUCCACGCCCUAAACGUUGGGCACUAGGUGUGGGGCCUAUUUCGACGGGUUCCGUGCCGUAGCUAACGCAUUAAGUGCCCCGCCUGGGGAGUACGGUCGCAAGGCUAAAACUCAAAGGAAUUGACGGGGGCCCGCACAAGCGGCGGAGCAUGCGGCUUAAUUCGAUGCAACGCGAAAAACCUCACCUGGGUUUGACAUGUAGGGAAAAGCUGCAGAGAUGCAGUGUCCUUUUAGGGCCCUUCACAGGUGGUGCAUGGCUGUCGUCAGCUCGUGUCGUGAGAUGUUGGGUUAAGUCCCGCAACGAGCGCAACCCUUGCCCUAUGUUGCCAGCGGAUAAUGCCGGGGACUCGUAGGGGACUGCCGGAGUUAAUUCGGAGGAAGGUGGGGACGACGUCAAGUCAUCAUGCCCCUUACAUCCAGGGCUGCACGCAUGCUACAAUGGCCGGUACAAAGGGUCGCCAACCCGCGAGGGGGAGCCAAUCCCAUAAAGCCGGUCUCAGUUCGGAUCGCAGUCUGCAACUCGACUGCGUGAAGUCGGAGUCGCUAGUAAUCCCGAAUCAGCACGUCGGGGUGAAUACGUUCCCGGGCCUUGUACACACCGCCCGUCACACCACGAAAGUCGGCAACACCCGAAGCCGGUGGCCCAACCAGUAAUGGAGGGAGCCGUCGAAGGUGGGGUCGGUGAUUGGGGUGAAGUCGUAACAAGGUAGCCGUACCGGAAGGUGCGGCUGGAUCACCUCCUU
rnacentral:rRNA from 1 species